GAUGAACGCUGGCGGCGUGCUUAACACAUGCAAGUCGAGCGAAGCACUUAAGUUUGAUUCUUCGGAUGAAGACUUUUGUGACUGAGCGGCGACGGUAUAAGGCGUGGUAACUGCUCAUACAGGGGAUAACAGUUAGAAAUGACUGCUAAAUACCGCAUAAGACCACAGGGUCGCAUGACCCGGUGGUAAAAACUCCGGUGGUAUGAGAUGGACUCGCGUCCGAUUAGCUAGUUGGUGAGGUAACGGCCCACCAAGGCAACGAUCGGUAGCCGGACUGAGAGGUUGAACGGCCACAUUGGGACUGAGACACGGCCCAG
rnacentral:rRNA from 1 species